UGCCAGACCCUCACUAACAGGUUGAUACUCAACUCCGUCAGAUCCGGAAGGAAGCAGCGGUCGGUACUCGAUUUGUGUAGUGAGUAAGUCUGGCUUAA
rnacentral:SRP_RNA from 1 species